rnacentral:misc_RNA from 1 species
ACAAAAUGGCGAUGAAACCUUUUGUUGCUGUUCAUGCUGGAGCUGGCUAUCAUUCGUUUUCUAAAGAAACUGAUUAUACUAAAACUUGUAAGACUGCCUGCCAAAUUGGAAUUAAGUCAUUGAAAAAUAACAUAUCAGCACUGAAUGCUGUAGUUUCAGUUCUAGCAGUUUUGGAAGAUGCGACAUGUACAAAUGCCGGAAUUGGCUCGAAUUUAACACUAAAUGGAACCGUAGAAUGUGAUGCCUCUGUAAUGGACGGACAUACAAGGGCUUAUGGGGCUGUUGGCGCUGUAUCUGGCAUAAAAAAUCCUGUAUGUAUAGCAAAAACAUUAAUUGAUGCUCAGCUGAAAGGAUUAUCUCUCGGUAGAAUCCCUCCGAGUAUUCUAGUCGGACGAGGAGCCUAUGACUGGGCUCUGAAGCAAGGUUUAAACCAUGUGUCCGAUAACAUUCUGGUAACAGAAUCAUCACAAAAGACUUAUGAAAACUACAAAAAAAAGCUUUUGGCACUUGAUAACCGGCUUAAUUGUAAAGCUAAAAGAAAAUAUCUUGAAAAGAAAUCGGUUAUAAAUCAUAGAAAUGAUUCGUCUUCCAACAUCGAAGAAGUUGAAAACAAUGAUGAUAUUUCUCAGCACCAAGAUACAGUCGGUGCCAUAUGUGUAGAUAAACAAGGGAAUAUUGCUUGUGCUGUAUCUAGUGGUGGACUAUCUCUAAAGCAACCUGGUCGGCUAGGUUCCGCAGCUGUUUUUGGUGCUGGUUGCUGGGCGGCUAAUAAUACUGCUGAUUCGGCUGGUAUUGGGGUUGUAACAUCUGGCACCGGUGAAUAUCUUAUCAGGACCAUUUUUGCAAAAGAAUUUGCUGAGUGUAUUCUAUCUGAAGAGGAUACAACAUUAGCUGUUAACAAAGCUUUUGAGCGGAAGUUUUUCGAAUCCCCUUUACUGAGCAAUAUUAAAGAUAAGUAUGCAGGUGCAUUGCUCAUAAAAUUAGCAGAAGCUAAUGAAAUUGAACUUGUGUCGGCACAUUGCACCUCAAGUAUGUGCGUCGGCUAUGCAAUUGAUGGAAAAGAACCAAAAGCAUAUAUAUCAAGACUCACAAACUCACAAAAACCUGGAAAGUCUUUAAGUAUUCAAGGGAAACAUUUCUUUUUAUGAAUUUCAUUUACAAGUUCUUAUGCAACUUUUAAAUGCAACAAGAAUCUUUCUGGAUGACUAUAUGAAUAAGUUUGAUAUACUCAAAUACAAGGAGUUGCAGCCAAACCAAAAAGGUAGCAUAGAAGAAUGGGCACUUGUAUCUUUGGACAAUAUUAGGAAGGGUGGAUAAAAUAAGUACCAAUCGAGAACUAGGGUUGAUGU